rnacentral:lncRNA from 1 species
CCUUAAGAACAUCCGUCCCCGAAUGUUCCUCAACUAACACAUAGCAUGGCAUACACAUAUCAUACACAUAAAACACAUGAAACAUAUAAGAAACUAACCUUAGAAAAGAUAAGGGUAUUGCUGGAGCAUGGACUCCCGUGUCUCCCAGGUGCACUCUUCCAUAUUGUGGUGGUUCCAUAGGACUUUCACCAUCGGGAUUUCCUUGUUUCUCAGCUUUCUGAUCUGGGUGUC